UUUCUCACAUAGGCUCUGCGCUCCUCUGCUCCCGCCGCUGACGGAGGCAUCCUCGCGAAGUGAAAGGUCCCAGAAAAGUCUGCCCAUUGACAACACACAGCGAUGAUUUGUGGUUUGCAUUCAAGAAACGAAAAGUUCUGUGUCGGGCCUCCUGACUGCGGCAUUGUCUGGAACAGAGGGGGCAUUCUGUCGCCGCCCUCAUGGCGUGGUACUGCCAAUGCAGCUGGAGCUUCUCCUGAGUGGGGAACGCCAGGCUGCACCUGCUGCAACGGAACCGGUAACCAUGGCGAUCAGAGAAGGAAGGGGGAUCGCUA